rnacentral:rRNA from 1 species
UACGAAGGGUGCAAGCGUUACUCGGAAUUACUGGGCGUAAAGCGUGCGUAGGUGGUUUGUUAAGUCUGAUGUGAAAGCCCUGGGCUCAACCUGGGAAUUGCAUUGGAUACUGGCAGGCUAGAGUGCGGUAGAGGAUGGCGGAAUUCCCGGUGUAGCAGUGAAAUGCGUAGAGAUCGGGAGGAACAUCUGUGGCGAAGGCGGCCAUCUGGACCAGCACUGACACUGAGGCACGAAAAGCGUGGGGGAGCAAACAGG